AUCACAGAGCCCUCAGAGGCACUGAACUCUGAGCUUGAGGCAGCACAACUCACAUUUGUGCAGAGAGCUACAUGCCACAUGCAGUUCUCCAGCCUGUUGUGCAUAUUUGUGGCCUUCAGCUACUCUGGAUCCAGUGUGGCCCAGAAGGUUACUCAAGCCCAGCUACCAAUAUCCAUGCCAGUGGGGAAAACAGUCACCCUGAACUGCCUGUAUGAAACACGUGAGGAGUUUUACUGUAUUUUUUGGUACAAGCAACUUCCCAGCAGAAAGAUAGUUUUCCUUAUUCGCCAGUGUUCUUCUCACCAGAAUGCAAAAAAUGAUCGCUAUUCUGUCAACUUCCAGAAAGCAAGGAAAUCCAUCGACUUCACCAUUUCAGCCUUACAGCUAGAAGAUUCAGCAACGUAUCUCUGUGCUCUCCGGGAACUCACAGUGUUUGAAGUGGCAGUAAAAGCAAAACAAAAACCCUAGGCUCAAUAAGAGAACCCCUCUACUCCCAUCCUUUGCUACAGGAGCCAAUUGGCAAUGCACACGUGCAGAUCUCAGGCAAGAGAAGGCAGCGACUGCAGUCUGUGGAUUUAAUCUGUGGUCUGGAUCAGACGCUUUAAUUCUAAGUAAAACCUCCUUUUAUAUCAUUUGGAAACAGGUGUUCAGAGCAACUUUCUUCUAAUACUUAAAUUUUUGCUUAAAAUAUAUCAGGCAGAAAAUGUGUAAACUUGUCUAAAGUUGGAAAGACUUACCACAUAAUAACUUAAAGUGGCAGUUUCACUUAACAAUGCUCACAGCAGAAAUCUGGGUCUAGUUAUCUGGAAUCAUCAUAAAAUCAUUGCCUUAGCCCUUUCCUUUUAGGCUUUAUGUCAAUUAGGGUACAAUCAGAGAAGCAGAACCACCAUGAAAGAUGUAGAAUAAGAUUAGUUAUAAAGAUUGAAACUCAUGCAAUUUCUGGAGCUGGAGGCUCUCAGAAAUUAUUGAGUUGCUCAUGUUUUAUGAAAUUGUAACAGGAAUGAAAUGCAAUCUUUUCAAAAUCUGACACAGAGUUUUAUUUGCUAGACUGAAGAGGAUCAGGAUAUUCAGUCCUAUUGCCUUCAGAAGUAGAAUUGUACUUCUUAGAUCAUGUGUCCUAGGAUUGUCCUGAUAUUACAUUUCUAUCACAUUGAUCCAAAGUAUUCAGUCUCACUUAUUACAUUCUGUGGCUGGGCAUGUUUUUUAUUUGUAAAAUAAAGUUGUGAUAAGCAUGCCAGCUCUGUGAUACAAUGCCAUAAUCUACUCUCACUCCUAUGCAAAGCUGUUGCCUUUGCAUCUAGUAUUAAGCCUGAAUUUACUCUAGGUCAGUUAGACUAACAUUUAGGAAGGAAAGUUGAAGGUGGACAAGAGCAUGCAAAAACUGUGAUCUAUAAGGACAUUUUGGAACCUGUGGUGACAGAUGGAACUCAUGAGGACAAACUAAAACUUGUCUGUCUCUUAUCUCCUUCAAUCUCAUAGUGGUGGUGAUCUUCAGAAGAAGUGAUGUUAUUUGCUAUUAUGCUCUCUGGGUACUUGGCCCAAGAAAAGGAGAAGCUGAAGGAGGUGAUCUGGGGGGUAGUGGAGGAGUUGUGAGUCAACAAUAAGAUGAGUUAGCAGAUCAGUAGCAAUAUGUGUGAGUUGCCACAGUUCCCGAAGCCUGGCACCUGUC